rnacentral:piRNA from 1 species
CUAUUUCCAUCUACCUUGAGGUC